rnacentral:tRNA from 1 species
CGGGCCAUAGCGCAGCUUGGUAGCGCACUUGACUGGGGGUCAAGGGGUCGCUGGUUCAAAUCCCGCUGGCCCGA